UAAGACGAACCGUGCGAACGUUAUUCGGAAUCACUGGGCUUAAAGCGCGUGCAGGCGGGCCGGCACGUCGGUCGCUGAAAUCCCCCGGCUCAACCGGGGAACGGGCGCCGAUACGACCGGCCUGGAGGGGGGUAGGGGGAGCCGGAACUCACGGUGGAGCGGUGAAAUGCGUUGAGAUCGUGAGGAACGCCCGUGGCGAAAGCGGGCUCCUGGACCUUGCCUGACGCUGAGACGCGAAAGCCAGGGGAGCGAACGGGAUUAGAUACCCCGGUAGUCCUGGCCGUAAACCAUGGGCACUGGGUAGGGGAUUCGCCGAUGGAUUCCCUGCCGCAGCGAAAGCGUGAAGUGCCCCGCCUGGGGAGUAUGGUCGCAAGGCUG
rnacentral:rRNA from 1 species